AAGGAAUUAGCUGUGUUUUACUCAGCAGAGAACAGAAACAGCUUCUACAUGCUCAUACCACUAUGUCCAGCAGUUGUCAGACACCAAGAGCACGUACUGCAUGAUUCUGCUUGCCAUGAAGGUCAACCGCAGGGUUCAGCAGUUCCAUCUUCAUGUGAUUCUUCAGCCAGGCUUUUGAUCCUUGCCAUAAGAUGCACUACUUAAAACCCCUAUACCACACAACCCAGACCAUUGAGCAAAACUGCCCUUGAAUAUGUUUCAUUUUUGUGGCACCUCAUGGAACCCCUACAAGAGAAAUAAAUGAUAGGUAGAGACAGUGUUCAGUGUGUCAGCCCAGUUUGGAAAAGCUCCUGAAGAAGAGACCUCUAACGCCACAAGAUUGGGUUUCUUGCUCUGUCAGAGUGGAAUGUACUGGAAGGCCAUGAUUGAAAGACCAGAAAAGGAACAAGAUGUGAAAAGACCCAGUGUGAGCUGGGUUCAAACCAGAUGCCCCAAAGGAAACCUGUGACUUCAUUCUACUCAAGCAGUGAAACCGGAGUAGAAGAUUGAUGUCUUCCGACAAAAUUAGCCUAUACCACAGGCCACUGUCAUUUGCAUGCCAAGAAUUAUAUGCCUAGAAACUACAUACAAAUGUGACUCACCCUGACAAAAUGUACACCCCUCCAUAAUGGAGUCCCCGCAACCUGUUUCUGUACACAGAGGUUCUACUGUUAUGGUUAUCUCUAGUCCUCUUUGCAGUAUGCUAAAUAAAAUACUUCUUUCUACUGUGGUUAAAAGGGUGAAUUCCUUCACCCUAAAUCCCCCACGUCUAUACCUAUAGGUCACGACCCCUGUGGCAAACCUCUGUCUCCAAAAUUAUUUACAUUACAAUUCAUAACAGUAGCAAAAUGACAGUUAUAAUGUAGCAAUGGAAAUAAUUUUAUGGUUGGGGUCACCACAACAUAAGGACCUGUGUUAAAAGGUGGUCGCGUGGGGAAGGUUGAGAACUAUGAGUCUAGAGAUUUUGAUAUGGCUGGUUCUCUAUUGUCUUCAUGACUGUGGUGUCAUAACAAGUUUUAAGGUCAGUAAGUGGGUUACGUCUUUGUUUUCCUUUAAGAAUGUCUGCUAUUUUAUAAGAAUCUUGAAGCUCUAUACAAGUCUGAAUCUUAAGACAGGUCUGUCAGUUUCUAUGGAAAGAUAAAUCAGUAUGAACUUUAAUAGUCAUCGUGUUGAAUCUGUAGAAUGCUUCAGGGAAGGACUGCCAUCUUGAUAACUUUAAGUCUUUCAGACCCCGGACAAAGGGUGUCUCCCCAUCACUUAGAUCUUCAUUUACCUGAUGAUCAUAUAUAUUUCAAUGUACUCUCAUUAUGCAUCUUUUGUUAGGUUAAGUCUAAAUAUUCUGUUCCUUUUGAUACUUUUACUAAUGCUGCUAUUUUCUCACAUUCAUUUCUCUUUAAGUCAUUGCUAUUGGGUAGUAAUAUAACCUUUUUUUUUUCCAUGCAUAGGCCUUGAGUUCUGUGAUCAUUAUGUAACGAUAUGGUCAUUUCCUCCAGGCAUAAUAUGACCGUUGCCAUCAUGAAGCAUAGCUGUAGCCAUGGUAACAAAAUAAGCAAAACAAUACAGUUGUUUUGUUUAGCUCUAAAGUCAGGGCCAUGGAGCUGUAGACGUUCCAGAGUAUAAGGACACAGAGAGGAUCACCAGCCCCUCUACAGCAAUCCCAACCACCAUUCCUUGGCACUUUCCUUUCCCGAAUCAUAUCAUCUUGAGAGGUAUUGUUGGAAAACUAGGGCUUUUGAGUCACUUAUGCUGUUGUAAAUAAACCCUCACCCAUGUUCCUGCAAAUAGCUUCAAUGUGCCCGCUGUUUCACCAAACUGGACUUAGAUGGAAUAAUGUCUUUAGUCUGUCAGUGUCCUAUCUGGGGUGCAUGGCUAUUUGUUUACUGUUCCCUAGGUGUCUUACUCACUGUUCUAUUUCUGUGAAGAGACACCAUGACCAAAGCAAUUCUAAGAAGAAAAUGUUUAUUAGGGGUUACUUAUAGUUUCAAGGGGUCAGCCCAUUAUUAUCAUGGCCAGGAGCGUGGCAGCAUACAUGGUGCUGAGACGGUAACUACAUCCUGAUCCACAGGUCAAGAGAAAGUGUAUGAGAGUGGAAGGAAGGAAAAGAGAGAGGGAGGGAGGGAAGGAGGAAAGGGGUGGGCAGAGAAAGAGAGAGAGAGAGAGGAGAGAAGGGAUGGGGAGACAUACACAUACACACAUGCACACAUACAGAGAGAGACAGAGGCAGAGAUAGAGACAGAGACAGAGACGAGACAGAGGGAGAACUUGACCUAGUCUGACCUUUUGAAACCUCGAAGCCUACUCCAAAUGACAGACUUUCACCAAUAAGGCCACACCUCCUAAUCUUUGUAAUUUCUUUAAAUAGCACCACUCCCUGGUGACUAAGCACUCUGUGGGGGCCAUUGUUAUUUGCACCGCUGUUCCAGGAUAAAGCAUAGGACAAAUGCUGAACUUUAUAUAUUAUUUGUGAUGGGUAAAGAUGUAUGUAUACUUGCAUGUGUAUGUUCAAAUGUCCUAAGGUUUUCUAAGGUUUUUCUCAGUAUAAUACAAAAA
rnacentral:lncRNA from 1 species